rnacentral:tRNA from 1 species
GGAGAGAUGCCAGAGCGGUCGAAUGGGGCGGUCUCGAAAACCGUUGUGCCCAUUAAGGGUACCGAGGGUUCGAAUCCCUCUCUCUCCGCCA